AGUCUCGGGGUGUUAUCACAUCGAAGUGCAAAUUCGAGGAUGAGCCCUUUCAGGCUCCGGGGCUU
rnacentral:tRNA from 1 species